AGUGAACGCUGGCGGUAGGCCUAACACAUGCGAGUCGAACGGCAGCACAGUAAGAGCUUGCUCUUACGGGUGGCGAGUGGCGGACGGGUGGGGAAUACAUCGGAAUCUACUUUUUCGUGGGGGAUAACGUAGGGAAACUUACGCUAAUACCGCAUACGACCUACGGGUGAAAGCAGGGGAUCUUCGGACCUUUCGCGAUUGAAUGAGCCGAUGUCGGAUUAGCUAGUUGGCGGGGUAAAGGCCCACCAAGGCGACGAUCCGUAGCUGGUCUGAGAGGAUGAUCAGCCACACUGGAACUGAGACACGGUCCAGACUCCUACGGGAGGCAGCAGUGGGGAAUAUUGGACAAUGGGCGCAAGCCUGAUCCAGCCAUACCGCGUGGGUGAAGAAGGCCUUCGGGUUGUAAAGCCCUUUUGUUGGGAAAGAAAAGCAGCAGGUUAAUACCCCGCUGUUCUGACGGUACCCAAAGAAUAAGCACCGGCUAACUUCGUG
rnacentral:rRNA from 1 species